AUUGAACGCUGGCGGAAUGCUUUACACAUGCAAGUCGAGCGGCAGCGCGGGGGCAACCCUGGCGGCGAGCGGCGAACGGGUGAGUAAUACAUCGGAACAUGUCCAGUUGUGGGGAUAGCCCGGCGAAAGCCGGAUUAAUACCGCAUGAGCUCUGGCGAGGAAAGCGGGGGACCGAAAGGCCUCGCGCGACUGGGUUGGCCGAUGUCCGAUUAGCUAGUUGGUGGGGUAAAGGCUCACCAAGGCGAUGAUCGGUAGCUGGUCUGAGA
rnacentral:rRNA from 1 species